rnacentral:rRNA from 1 species
GAUGAACGCUGGCGGCAUGCCUUACACAUGCAAGUCGAACGGUAACAGGUCUUCGGAUGCUGACGAGUGGCGAACGGGUGAGUAAUACAUCGGAACGUGCCCGAGAGUGGGGGAUAACGAGGCGAAAGCUUUGCUAAUACCGCAUACGAUCUCAGGAUGAAAGCAGGGGACCGCAAGGCCUUGCGCCCACGGAUCGGCUGAUGGCAGAUUAGGUAGUUGGUGGGAUAAAAGCGUACCAAGGCGACGAUCUGUAGCUGGUCUGAGAGGACGACCAGCCACACUGGGACUGAGACACGGCCCAGACUCCUACGGGAGGCAGCAGUGGGGAAUUUUGGACAAUGGGCGCAAGCCUGAUGCAGCCAUGCCGCGUGCAGGAUGAAGGCCUUCGGGUUGUAAACUGCUUUUGUACGGAACGAAAAGACUCUGGUUAAUACCUGGGGUCCAUGACGGUACCGUAAGAAUAAGCACCGGCUAACUACGUGCCAGCAGCCGCAGUAACAC